rnacentral:rRNA from 1 species
UACGGGGGGGGCAAGCGUUGUUCGGAAUUACUGGGCGUAAAGGGCGCGUAGGCGGCCCGCUUAGUCGGACGUGAAACCCCUCGGCUCAACCGAGGAACUGCGUCCGAUACUGGCGGGCUCGAAUCCGGGAGAGGGAUGUGGAAUUCCAGGUGUAGCGGUGAAAUGCGUAGAUAUCUGGAGGAAUACCAGUGGCGAAGGCGGCUUUCUGGGCCUACCCUGACGCUGAGGAGCGAAAGCGUGGGGAGCAAACCGG